rfam:Pongo abelii chromosome 15.
GUCUACGGCCAUACCACCCUGAAUGCACCCUAUCUCUUCUGAUCUCAGAAGCUAAGCAGGGUCGGGCCUCGUUAGCACUUGGAUGGGAGAACACUCGGACACAGGAAGGGGAACAUCACACACU